AACGAACGCUGGCGGCAGGCUUAACACAUGCAAGUCGAACGCAUCCUUCGGGGUGAGUGGCAGACGGGUGAGUAACGCGUGGGAACGUGCCCUUUAGUUCGGGAUAACCCAGGGAAACUUGGGCUAAUACCGGAUACGUGCGAGAGCAGAAAGAUUUAUCGCUGAAGGAUCGGCCCGCGCCUGAUUAGCUAGUUGGUGGGGUAAUGGCCCACCAAGGCGACGAUCGGUAGCUGGUCUGAGAGGAUGAUCAGCCACAUUGGGACUGAGACACGGCCCAAACUCCUACGGGAGGCAGCAGUGGGGAAUAUUGGACAAUGGGCGCAAGCCUGAUCCAGCCAUGCCGCGUGAGUGAUGAAGGCCUUAGGGUUGUAAAGCUCUUUCGUCCGGGACGAUAAUGACGGUACCGGAAGAAGAAGCCCCGGCUAACUUCGUGCCAGCCGCCGCAGUAA
rnacentral:rRNA from 1 species